GCGGCAGACGGGUGAGUAACACGUGGGAACGUACCCUUCGGUUCGGAAUAACUCAGGGAAACUUGAGCUAAUACCGGAUACGCCCUUUUGGGGAAAGGUUUACUGCCGAAGGAUCGGCCCGCGUCUGAUUAGCUAGUUGGUGGGGUAACGGCCUACCAAGGCGACGAUCAGUAGCUGGUCUGAGAGGAUGAUCAGCCACACUGGGACUGAGACACGGCCCAGACUCCUACGGGAGGCAGCAGUGGGGAAUAUUGGACAAUGGGCGCAAGCCUGAUCCAGCCAUGCCGCGUGAGUGAUGAAGGCCUUAGGGUUGUAAAGCUCUUUUGUCCGGGACGAUAAUGACGGUACCGGAAGAAUAAGCCCCGGCUAACUUCGUGC
rnacentral:rRNA from 1 species